GGUUGGUCUGAGUACAGCGGUAUUUACAACUAAUUGAUCACAACCAGUUAAAGAUUCCUUUGUUCCUUCUCCAAUCCCACUGCUUCACUUAACCAACCUUAA
rnacentral:Y_RNA from 1 species